UAUCCGGAUUUAUUGGGUUUAAAGGGUCCGUAGGCGGACUCGUAAGUCAGUGGUGAAAUCUCAUAGCUUAACUAUGAAACUGCCAUUGAUACUGCGGGUCUUGAGUAAAGUAGAAGUGGCUGGAAUAAGUAGUGUAGCGGUGAAAUGCAUAGAUAUUACUUAGAACACCAAUUGCGAAGGCAGGUCACUAUGUUUUAACUGACGCUGAUGGACGAAAGCGUGGGGAGCGAACAGGAUUAGAUACCCUGGUAGUCCACGCCGUAAACGAUGCUAACUCGUUUUUGGGUUUUCGGAUUCAGAGACUAAGCGAAAGUGAUAAGUUAGCCACCUGGGGAGUACGUUCGCAAGAAUGAAACUCAAAGGAAUUGACGGGGGCCCGCACAAGCGGUGGAUUAUGUGGUUUAAUUCGAUGAUACGCGAGGAACCUUACCAAGGCUUAAAUGGGAAUUGACAGGUUUAGAAAUAGACUUUUCUUCGGACAAUUUUCAAGGUGCUGCAUGGUUGUCGUCAGCUCGUGCCGUGAGGUGUUAGGUUAAGUCCUGCAACGAGCGCAACCCCUGUCACUAGUUGCCAUCAUUCAGUUGGGGACUCUAGUGAGACUGCCUACGCAAGUAGAGAGGAAGGUGGGGAUGACGUCAAAUCAUCACGGCCCUUACGCCUUGGGCCACACACGUAAUACAAUGGCCGGUACAGAGGGCAGCUACACAGCGAUGUGAUGCGAAUCUCGAAAGCCGGUCUCAGUUCGGAUUGGAGUCUGCAACUCGACUCUAUGAAGCUGGAAUCGCUAGUAAUCGCGC
rnacentral:rRNA from 1 species